GGUGAGUAACACGUAGGCAACCUGCCUGUAAGACUGGGAUAACUAUCGGAAACGAUAGCUAAGACCGGAUAGCUGGUUCUCUCGCAUGAGGGAAUCAUGAAACACGGGGUAACCUGUGGCUUACAGAUGGGCCUGCGGCGCAUUAGCUAGUUGGUAGGGUAACGGCCUACCAAGGCGACGAUGCGUAGCCGACCUGAGAGGGUGAUCGGCCACACUGGGACUGAGACACGGCCCAGACUCCUACGGGAGGCAGCAGUAGGGAAUCUUCCGCAAUGGACGCAAGUCUGACGGAGCAACGCCGCGUGAGUGAUGAAGGUUUUCGGAUCGUAAAGCUCUGUUGCCAGGGAAGAACGCCUUAGAGAGUAACUGCUCCAAGGGUGACGGUACCUGAGAAGAAAGCCCCGGCUAACUACGUGCCAGCAGCCGCGGUAAUACGUAGGGGGCAAGCGUUGUCCGGAAUUAUUGGGCGUAAAGCGCGCGCAGGCGGUCACUUAAGUUUGGUGUUUAAGCCCGGGGCUCAACCCCGGAUCGCACUGAAAACUGGGUGACUUGAGUGCGGGAGAGGAAAGUGGAAUUCCACGUGUAGCGGUGAAAUGCGUAGAGAUGUGGAGGAACACCAG
rnacentral:rRNA from 1 species